GCAGUCGAACGAGUUCUGAUUAUUGAAAGGUGCUUGCAUCUUGAUUUAAUUUUGAACGAGUGGCGGACGGGUGAGUAACACGUGGGUAACCUGCCCUUAAGUGGGGGAUAACAUUUGGAAACAGAUGCUAAUACCGCAUAAAUCCAAGAACCGCAUGGUUCUUGGCUGAAAGAUGGCGUAAGCUAUCGCUUUUGGAUGGACCCGCGGCGUAUUAGCUAGUUGGUGAGGUAACGGCUCACCAAGGCAAUGAUACGUAGCCGAACUGAGAGGUUGAUCGGCCACAUUGGGACUGAGACACGGCCCAAACUCCUACGGGAGGCAGCAGUAGGGAAUCUUCCACAAUGGACGCAAGUCUGAUGGAGCAACGCCGCGUGAGUGAAGAAGGCUUUCGGGUCGUAAAACUCUGUUGUUGGAGAAGAAUGGUCGGCAGAGUAACUGUUGUCGGCGUGACGGUAUCCAACCAGAAAGCCACGGCUAACUACGUGCCAGCAGCCGCGGUAAUACGUAGGUGGCAAGCGUUAUCCGGAUUUAUUGGGCGUAAAGCGAGCGCAGGCGGUUUUUUAAGUCUGAUGUGAAAGCCCUCGGCUUAACCGAGGAAGUGCAUCGGAAACUGGRAAACUUGAGUGCAGAAGAGGACAGUGGAACUCCAUGUGUAGCGGUGAAAUGCGUAGAUAUAUGGAAGAACACCAGUGGCGAAGGCGGCUGUCUGGUCUGUAACUGACGCUGAGGCUCGAAAGCAUGGGUAGCGAACAGGAUUAGAUACCCUGGUAGUCCAUGCCGUAAACGAUGAAUGCUAGGUGUUGGAGGGUUUCCGCCCUUCAGUGCCGCAGCUAACGCAUUAAGCAUUCCGCCUGGGGAGUACGACCGCAAGGUUGAAACUCAAAGGAAUUGACGGGGGCCCGCACAAGCGGUGGAGCAUGUGGUUUAAUUCGAAGCAACGCGAAGAACCUUACCAGGUCUUGACAUCUUUUGAUCACCUGAGAGAUCAGGUUUCCCCUUCGGGGGCAAAAUGACAGGUGGUGCAUGGUUGUCGUCAGCUCGUGUCGUGAGAUGUUGGGUUAAGUCCCGCAACGAGCGCAACCCUUAUGACUAGUUGCCAGCAUUUAGUUGGGCACUCUAGUAAGACUGCCGGUGACAAACCGGAGGAAGGUGGGGAUGACGUCAAAUCAUCAUGCCCCUUAUGACCUGGGCUACACACGUGCUACAAUGGAUGGUACAACGAGUUGCGAGACCGCGAGGUCAAGCUAAUCUCUUAAAGCCAUUCUCAGUUCGGACUGUAGGCUGCAACUCGCCUACACGAAGUCGGAAUCGCUAGUAAUCGCGGAUCAGCACGCCGCGGUGAAUACGUUCCCGGGCCUUGUACACACCGCCCGUCACACCAUGAGAGUUUGUAACACCCGAAGCCGGUGGCGUAACCCUUUUAGGGAGCGAGCCGUCUAAG
rnacentral:rRNA from 1 species